UAUACGACCCGACUAGCAGCUUCCGGGAAACCAAAGUUUUUCUUUUCCGGGGGAAGUAUGGUUGCAAAGCUGAAACUUAAAGGAAUUGACGGAAGGGCACCACCAGGAGUGGAGCCUGCGGCUUAAUUUGACUCAACAAGGGAAAACUCACCCCGCCCGGACACCGUAAAGAUUGACAGACUGAGAGCUCUUUCUCAAUUCGGUGGGGGGGGGGGCAUGGCCGUUCUUAGUGGGGGGAGCGAUUUGUCUGGUUAAUUCCCAUAACGAACGAGACCCUGGCCUAUUAAAUAGCCGGUAUAUCCAGAAAAGUUUACCGUACUUCUUAGAGGGACAAACGGCGUCGACCCGCCUGAAAUAAAGCAAUAACAGGUCUGUGAU
rnacentral:rRNA from 1 species